rnacentral:rRNA from 1 species
AACGUAGGAGACUAGCGUUAUCCGGAUUCAUUGGGCGUAAAGGGCAUGUAGGCGGUGCCUUAAGUUGGAUGUGAAAUCUCCCGGCUUAACUGGGAGGGGUCAUCCAAUACUGGGGCUCUUGAGGGCAGGAGAGGGAAGUGGAAUUCCCGGUGUAGCGGUGGAAUGCGUAGAUAUCGGGAGGAACACCAGUGGCGAAAGCGGCUUCCUGGCCUGCAUCUGACGCUAAUAUGCGAAAGCUAGGGGAGCAAAC